rnacentral:lncRNA from 1 species
GCAGGUGGAGCCUGGACCAGCGAGGAGGCUCUCGUGUCGGUCGAGUCUGGAUGUGAGGGUUCCCUGCACCGCUGUGGGAACAUCGAGCUCUGACCACCGACGUCCCCGCCCCCCACCUCCCACGUUACCCCCCGCUGUCACACCCCUA